rnacentral:snRNA from 1 species
UCACUUCAGCAGUGCAUAUACUAAAAUUAGAGCAAUACAUAGAAGAUUAGCAUAGCCCAACCCAAGAUGAUACCUACAUUUAUAAAAUAUUCUCUAUUGUU